rnacentral:rRNA from 1 species
UGCAGCGACGCCGCGUGAGGGAUGACGGCCUUCGGGUUGUAAACCUCUUUCAGUAGGGAAGAAGCGCAAGUGACGGUACCUGCAGAAGAAGCGCCGGCUAACUACGUGCCAGCAGCCGCGGUAAUACGUAGGGCGCAAGCGUUGUCCGGAAUUAUUGGGCGUAAAGAGCUCGUAGGCGGUUUGUCGCGUCCGCUGUGAAAGCCCGGGGCUCAACCCCGGGUCGGCAGUGGGUACGGGCAGACUAGAGUGCAGUAGGGGAGACUGGAAUUCCUGGUGUAGCGGUGAAAUGCGCAGAUAUCAGGAGGAACACCGAUGGCGAAGGCAGGUCUCUGGGCUGUUACUGACGCUGAGGAGCGAAAGCAUGGGGAGCGAACAGGAUUAGAUACCCUGGUAGUCCAUGCCGUAAACGUUGGGCACUAGGUGUGGGGGACAUUCCACGUCCUCCGCGCCGUAGCUAACGCAUUAAGUGCCCCGCCUGGGGAGUACGGCCGCAAGGCUAAAACUCAAAGAAAA